AUGAACUACAAAAACACUACGUCUUUUCUCCAUCUUCAUUCUUCUCGGCUGCAGACAAAACACUCAGACCAGCUUAGGAUGAGAGCUCCUUCCUCCAGUCCGGCCGCUGCCGCCCCUUCCCCCAGCUGGCUGCGCCGGUCACGCCGGUCACGUCCAACCCCGUUGGCCGCGGCCCAUCGCCCGCAGGCCAUGCCGCGUCGCCCGUCGGCCGCGCCCCGUCGCCCGUCGGCCGCACCCCGCCCCUAUCGGCCGCGCCCCAUCACCGCGCCGGCCAUGCCCCGUCGCCUCCGUCGUCCGCGCCCAGCCCUGCCGGCCACGCCCCGCCGUCCGCGCCUUACUCUAUUGCCAGCCGAGUCGUGCCCCUUUGCCUGCCGCACCUGGAGGAUUCCGGCGGCCAGACUGAGGUCAUGGGAGGCCACAGCUAUGUCGUGCUCGUCCAAUUCAAACCAGCGGCGAUCGAUUGCGACGCUUAGCGGCCUUUUCCGGUGUGCGGUGAUGAAUUCCGGCGAGUUUAGGGCGGAUUCCGGCAAACUCCGCGGCGGCGUGUUUGCUCCGACGAGGUUUGACCGGUAUACGGGGCCCCCUAGAGUCGGCCUUCCAACCUCCAAAGAUAAGGGUUUCGGAAGUGCUUGCCUGGAUUGGUGCUUGUGCGGGAUACCCACCACUGAUCCAUUGUUGCAGAAUGGGCAGACCAUGAGUGGCAGGGGUGGCUGCUCCUCUAGUGCAACCAGGGGAGGGCUUGACAUGGGAGCGCUCGAGCUGGACAUGGCAAUUAGAACCAUGUUGUUGGGAGGUGGUGGUUCACACCGGGUCCAUCUCAUUUGCACAGGAACUAGCUACAUGCGCCUGGGACAUAACGCGUGCACUGUGUUGCACAUGGGUUCAGAUCCCAAUGCAACUGGAUGCGCGGGAUUCCAGAGCGCGUCGUCGCCAUGUGCUCCUAUGCAAUUUCGUGUAUGGGAGUCUGGAAGCAGUGACCGCGGCGGCUGCAGAGGGAUGGUCGGUGAUUCUCAGGCAUCCUGGGACAGUUUCAGGCAGCGCCGCGACAGAGUCAUUGACGGCGACCACCCUGGUAGGCCACUGGUGCUGGAGACGGCAUGCCCACUUGUUGCAAUCAUUGACGGGGACGACGGCACGGGGUGCUGGAACCAGCUACUGAAUUUGCUCGAGAUCCUCAACGAUGGACGACUUUUGCUACAACCGACAUCAUUUUUUGCUGGAACCCGCGACAAAAGUUGUUGCGUUGGGGUGCAGCACACCGAGGAUUUUGCUGGAAUCAGCGAUGAUGGAUCUACUUUGCUGGGAUCAGCGCCGCUAGAUGUUGUAACCGGCGAUGACCAUGGAAGCAAUUUUUUUGAGCGAGGAAGGUUGUCUAUCAGGGCGGCGAGCAACGGCGUGCUGGCGGUGCACAGCUCUGAACCAGCGACCUUGAGCGGGUCUCCUCAAAACCACUGUAACUACCCGCUGCGAGCCAUGGUCCUUAGCGAGCAGAGACUCCAGCACCAGCAGCAGAGACGUCACGCGCGCCACCUACACAAAACCAAACACCACCUCGCGAAGCCAUUCUCGGCUAUCAGCAUGGGCGCACCUGGGCCAGACUCAUGGGUGUUCGCGGUCGCCGACAGCUCCAGGUACAGCACGCGCUCGCGGCUGCUGCUCACGGGGCUCGCCAUGGCGAUCGGCGUCCUCACCCUCCUCCUCUACCUCGCCGUCUCCUACGCCCGCCGCCGUCCGGGUGCGGAGGACCACGAGGCCGGCGGCAUCAGCGACGCCGCCGUCAUCGCAGUGGCCGACGCGCAGUCUGCGCCGAUGGACUGCGCGGUGUGCCUCGGGCAGGUGGAGGCCGGCGAGAAGCUGCGCCGGCUCCCCAGGUGCGGCCAUCUCUUCCACGCCGACUGCGUCCACGCCUGGCUGCAAGCGCACUCCACCUGCCCCAUGUGCCGCGCCGCCACAAAUUCCUCCAACAAGGACGGCACCACCACGGCGGCGGCGGCAACAGCAGCGCUGCCACCAGGCGUCACCGGAGGCUCGGUGCCGCCAGCUGCCUUGGAAAUAGUGAAUGGAACAACACGACUGCAGAAUAGCCACAGUGAUUGA
rnacentral:rRNA from 1 species